rnacentral:tmRNA from 1 species
GGGGUCGACUGGUUUUGACAGCGAGACUCAUUAAACGGUAAGCACGUCGUGUAACGACCAUGAUACACGUAAAAGGCUAGGUCAAACUUUAAACGGCGAGAAUAACUACGCUUUAGCUGCCUAAUCUGAAUUACAGUAAGAUUAAGCCUCGUCCUACUAGGUAGGAGAGCUAAAUGUCUCCAGAAAGCCUUGGUUAAUGGCGUUCUAUUUAGAGGCAUCGUAAAUAUUAACUAAGAUAGUGUAGGGCUUUGAUGCACUAUCGAGAUUAAGAAGCUAAGUUGUAAGUAGGUUGUUUAUAGCCAGCUUACGAUCGAAAAACCAAGAAUAAACUAAGCGUGUAGAAAGCUCUUUAAUAGCUUGUUUGGACGAGGGUUCGAAUCCCUCCGACUCCACCU